UAUGGCCAGUGAAUCAAGUGAUGAUGAUUUGUUAAAUAUGGAUGAUUCGGAAGGAAAUUUUGGAGAUUUCAUGAUGCUUCAUUGCUUUGCUGCACACAAAGGAAGUACCAUUGGUAGGAUGCCUUGUAGAACAUCAUUGCUUACGGGAAAAAUGUACGUGCUCGAAAUUUUGAAUGGACAUCCGGAAGUGUGUUAUCGUAAUUUUCGUAUGCA
rnacentral:lncRNA from 1 species